rnacentral:misc_RNA from 1 species
UGGUUCUGGCAUNGAUGAAGAACGCAGCGAAAUGCGAUAAGUAAUGUGAAUUGCAGAAUUCAGUGAAUCAUCGAAUCUUUGAACGCACAUUGCGCCCGCCAGCAUUCUGGCGGGCAUGCCUGUUCGAGCGUCAUUUCAACCCUCAGGCCUGUCCUGGUGUUGGGAGACUCGACGGUGCAUCAUGCGCCACGAGCUCCCGAAAGCUAGCUUCCGAGCCGGCGAGACCGUGCGGUAGUUAUGUAACAGUUACUACGGCGUCUUGUCGACUUUCGAUACCCAAGGUUGACCUCGGAUCAGGUAGGAAUACCCGCUGA